rnacentral:rRNA from 1 species
CCUUGAAAUACCACCCUUUAAUGUUUGAUGUUCUAACGUGGACCCGUAAUCCGGGUUGCGGACAGUGUCUGGUGGGUAGUUUGACUGGGGCGGUCUCCUCCUAAAGAGUAACGGAGGAGCACGAAGGUUGGCUAAUCCUGGUCGGACAUCAGGAGGUUAGUGCAAUGGCAUAAGCCAGCUUGACUGCGAGCGUGACGGCGCGAGCAGGUGCGAAAGCAGGUCAUAGUGAUCCGGUGGUUCUGAAUGGAAGGGCCAUCGCUCAACGGAUAAAAGGUACUCCGGGGAUAACAGGCUGAUACCGCCCAAGAGUUCAUAUCGACGGCGGUGUUUGGCACCUCGAUGUCGGCUCAUCACAUCCUGGGGCUGAAGUAGGUCCCAAGGGUAUGGCUGUUCGCCAUUUAAAGUGGUACGCGAGCUGGGUUUAGAACGUCGUGAGACAGUUCGGUCCCUAUCUGCCGU